rnacentral:miRNA from 1 species
UUUGGGAUCAGAAAUUAGAGA